rnacentral:rRNA from 1 species
GCCGUAAACGGUGGGUACUAGGUGUGGGUUUCCUUCCUUGGGAUCCGUGCCGUAGCUAACGCAUUAAGUACCCCGCCUGGGGAGUACGGCCGCAAGGCUAAAACUCAAAGAAAUUGACGGGGGCCCGCACAAGCGGCGGAGCAUGUGGAUUAAUUCGAUGCAACGCGAAGAACCUUACCUGGGUUUGACAUGCACAGGACGACUGCAGAGAUGUGGUUUCCCUUGUGGCCUGUGUGCAGGUGGUGCAUGGCUGUC